UCGCUCGUUCUGUCCUUCUCUUCUCUCUGUCUCACCACAUCGUGUAACUGAAUCAUUAAAUUGAGCCAACAAAACUAAUCAAAUUCAUCAAACUUGUUAAAAAUGACCAUCAGAAGUUUGAGAAAACCAAAAUCAACUGAGAAACAUCAAAAACGAAGAAAACAAUUAGGGUUCAUAAAAUCAGUUUAUGAUGAUGUUGAAGAAGUUGAAAAUUGAAGAUUUAAACAAGAAACAAAAAUGAAACGCGCUGCUGGUGUUAACAAAGGAGCGAAAAUCAACUUCACAGAUACCUACAUUGCAUGAUAUUGGUGGCAAAAUAUCUGAUGAUGUGCUGUUGUAACAAGUAUGAGAUCAGUGUGAAAUGGCUUUUGGCAAAAUAUCAGCAAAUCCAUCCAAAUUUGCGGAAAAAACUGGUUCUGUAAAAGAGCCCGGGGAAUGCUCUGGUUCAACUGCUGAAGCAAGGGAUAAUGUUUGAUUAUGUAUCUAAAUGGAAGUAGAACUAUGUAAUGUUGCAGUGUUAUACAGCCAUCAGCAUCACCAUCACCGAAGUGUUACAUUUAAAAAUUGAAAAUACAAUAUCAUUUCUGAACGAUAGGUCAUAGAGGGCAUACUGCAAACAUUUGUUCAUUUAUAGUUUCUCGAGAUUUUUCUUUGAUUUGGUCCUUGCAAGUUUCAGAAU